rnacentral:rRNA from 1 species
AGAGCGAACGCUGGCGGCAGGCUUAACACAUGCAAGUCGAGCGGGCGUAGCAAUACGUCAGCGGCAGACGGGUGAGUAACGCGUGGGAACAUACCUUUUGGUUCGGAACAACACAGGGAAACUUGUGCUAAUACCGGAUAAGCCCUUACGGGGAAAGAUUUAUCGCCGAAAGAUUGGCCCGCGUCUGAUUAGCUAGUUGGUGAGGUAACGGCUCACCAAGGCGACGAUCAGUAGCUGGUCUGAGAGGAUGAUCAGCCACAUUGGGACUGAGACACGGCCCAAACUCCUACGGGAGGCAGCAGUGGGGAAUAUUGGACAAUGGGCGCAAGCCUGAUCCAGCCAUGCCGCGUGAGUGAUGAAGGCCCUAGGGUUGUAAAGCUCUUUUGUGCGGGAAGAUAAUGACGGUACCGCAAGAAUAAACCCGGCUAACUUCGUGCCAGCAGCCGC